rnacentral:lncRNA from 10 species
UAAGCCUGCUGUUCAAGAUGGCCCAGCAAACUGGUCAGUUAAAAACUUUGCUGCAGGACACAAUUGGAAACAGUGGUUAUUUUACCAACGCUUUGACUGGAAUGGCACGUUUUCCUUUAAGGAAUCAAACUUGACUUGUAAAGCCAAUAAAAGCCCCUUGGGGAAUUGGCCUCAGACCUUGUCUACAACAGCCCCUGUACAGGGUUUCUGACCUGUGAUAUCACCUUUUGUCAAAACUCGGAGUUAUGAAUUGCCCUCGCCAUACUGAUGCUUUCUGACUGAGCUCCUCUCUACCCUGAAUACAAGAGACUCUCAUAGUUAAGCAAGAAUAUCAUUGCUCCUAUUCAGCAUGAAGAAGUUACAGAAGAUGGAUUUUCAACCCUCUGCAACCCUUAGGAUUAAAAUUAUACAAACCUUUAGGAUUAUAAAAGGGAGGGGGUAAUGUCAGGCGUGUGAACCAGAGCAACUCCAUUUUGAGUAGAAGCUGUGUAAAACGAGGCUGAAACCUACUAGGCUGCAUUCCCAGACAGUUAAGGCAUUCUAAGUCACAGGAUGAGAUAGGAGGCUGGCAUAAAAUACAGGUCAUAAACAGCUUGCAGAUAAAACAGGUUGCAGUAAAGAAGCUGGCUAAAACCCACCAAAACCUAGAUGGUGACAAGAGUCACUUCUUAUCAUCCUCACUGCUACACUCCCACCAGUGCCAUGAUAGUUUACAGAUGCCAUGGCAACAUCAGGACAUUACCCUAUAUGGUCUAAAAAGGGAUGCAUGAAUAAUUCACCCCUUGUUUAGCAUAUCAUCAAGUACUAACCAUAAAAAUGGGCAACCA